AUACGGAGGAUCCGAGCGUUAUCCGGAUUUAUUGGGUUUAAAGGGUGCGUAGGCGGCCAGUUAAGUCAGAGGUGAAAGACAGCGGCCCAACCGUUGCAGUGCCUUUGAUACUGAUUGGCUUGAAUUGCGUUGAGGAUGGCGGAACGGGACAAGUAGCGGUGAAAUGCAUAGAUAUGUUCCAGAACACCGAUCGCGAAGGCAGCUGUCCAGCCGCAUAUUGACGCUGAUGCACAAAAGCGUGGGGAUCGAACAGGAUUAGAUACCCUGGUAGUCCACGCCCUAAACGAUGAUAACUCGAUGUCCGCGAUAAACAGUGGGCGUCCAAGCGAAAGCGUUAAGUUAUCCACCUGGGGAGUACGCCCGCAAGGGUGAA
rnacentral:rRNA from 1 species